GUACACACCGCCCGUCGCUCCUACCGAUUGAGUGUGCUGGUGAAGUGUUCGGAUCGGCAAAGCUGGGGGCAACUCUUGCAUUGCCGAGAAGUUCAUUAAACCCUCCCACUUAGAGGAAGGAGAAGUCGUAACAAGGUUUCCGUAGGUGAACCUGCAGAAGGAUCA
rnacentral:rRNA from 1 species